UCCGUGUUUAACAAAUUCAAAAUUCAAUAGGUACCCAAAUUGGAGAACUCAAGGGCUAAUCUAUCAUCCAAGCUAGCAACGUCAGCACCACCUGAGUUAUCCAAAAAAACUUUCUUUGAAGUGAUGAGCAGUUCAAGUAUCGAAGAGCUGACAACUAUACUAUAGAUUGUUGAGGAGCCCUUGUGGAUUGAUCCGCUGGUCAGCUACCUCAGAGAUGGGACACUACCUUC
rnacentral:lncRNA from 1 species